GACGAACGCUGGCGGCGUGCCUAAUACAUGCAAGUAGAACGCUGAAGGAGGAGCUUGCUUCUCUGGAUGAGUUGCGAACGGGUGAGUAACGCGUAGGUAACCUGCCUGGUAGCGGGGGAUAACUAUUGGAAACGAUAGCUAAUACCGCAUAAGAGUAGAUGUUGCAUGACAUUUGCUUAAAAGGUGCAAUUGCAUCACUACCAGAUGGACCUGCGUUGUAUUAGCUAGUUGGUGGGGUAACGGCUCACCAAGGCGACGAUACAUAGCCGACCUGAGAGGGUGAUCGGCCACACUGGGACUGAGACACGGCCCAGACUCCUACGGGAGGCAGCAGUAGGGAAUCUUCGGCAAUGGACGGAAGUCUGACCGAGCAACGCCGCGUGAGUGAAGAAGGUUUUCGGAUCGUAAAGCUCUGUUGUAAGAGAAGAACGCGUGUGAGAGUGGAAAGUUCACACUGUGACGGUAUCUUACCAGAAAGGGACGGCUAACUACGUG
rnacentral:rRNA from 1 species